rnacentral:SRP_RNA from 1 species
GCCAGGCGUGGUGGUGCAUGCCUGUAGUCCCAGCUACUUGGGAGGCUGAGGCAGGAGAAUCACUUGAACCCAGGAGGCCGAGGCUGCAGUGAGCCAAGAUUGUGCCACUGCACUCUAGCCUGAGUGACAGAGUCAGAUUCCGUCUAAA